GACCGCUCCGAUGGCUUAGUGGUUAGAGCUUCCGCCUCGGAUGAGGGAGGAUCCUGGUUCGAACCCCAGCUGAGUCA